GACGAACCGUGCGAACGUUGUUCGGAAUCACUGGGCUUAAAGGGCGCGUAGGCGGGCUGUCAAGUCUGGGGUGAAAUCCCGCGGCUCAACCGUGGAACUGCCUUAGAUACUGACGGCCUCGAGGAAGGUAGGGGCAUGCGGAACUGUAGGUGGAGCGGUGAAAUGCGUUGAUAUCUACAGGAACUCCGGUGGCGAAAGCGGCGUGCUGGACCUUUUCUGACGCUGAGGCGCGAAAGCUAGGGGGAGCAAACGGG
rnacentral:rRNA from 1 species